rnacentral:piRNA from 1 species
CUUGGUUCAAAUGUUGCUGUUUC